rnacentral:lncRNA from 1 species
GUUCCAGUACUCAGAAGGGCAUUUGGUAGAACCUGAGAAGACCUUCACUGAUCAAUUUGUCAGCUGCCAUCACUGGGGAAGAACCAACUUCAGAGCCUGUGAUGAAGAGCUGGUGUUUUCUGAUGAGCUAUUGGCGCAUUAGAGACUGACACGUUCACCUGGGGAGGAGCACACCUGUUCAGUCAACCUGUGUGCAGGAUAAUGUAUGAUCAUCGUGCAUCAGUGCUUCUGGGGACUCUGCCAUUGCACCCAGACUGCUGAGAGAGCCUCCCAUCUGUAAUGCCAAUGUAAGAGCCUACACACAGAAUAAUGUUGGAGCUUGUUUGUUACUCUUUUCACAUACUCCUUUUGGUAAACACAUGAACGUUGAUUCCCUGCUCAUGAGAUAAACCUUCAUUGUGGCAGUAAUGGAUGCAGCUUGCAAACAGGAAAGGAGAUGAGUGUGCUUUUGUUGCCCUUUCAAUCUCCUUCAGUUCUGAUUGUUAAGGCAUAAGAAGUAGAAUACAAUGUUAUGAAAAGUUGAGAACUCUGAAGGUAAAAAGCCUCAAAGGUAGAACGUGGCACUGUGAGUAAAGGGUGUUGAAACAGUAGUUCAGCUAAUGUUUUUGUGAAAUGUCACAGAAACAUCCAUAAAACAUUGGAGAAAGAAUAAGAUGAGCAAGAAACUGGCUAAAGAGUAGAUAUUUAGCUGAACUGAAA